rnacentral:lncRNA from 1 species
AGUUUCCCAUAAUGGCUGUGAGUCUGGAGUUUGUUCCUGCCGGUGGGUUCGUGGUCUCGCUGACUUCAAGAAUGAAGCUGCAGACGUUCGUGAGGAGAAAGCUGAAGCACCAGAUGGUUAAAAGGACUGUUCAAGACAGCCUUGCAAUUUUGACCAAGGAAGAAAGCUGAAGAGUGCUAGGGCAAGAGAGGAACUACGUCCAGAACAAUUCAUAAUUCCAAAUUCUCACUUCCAUGAUUUCAAUGCUGAAUGUGUACUUCUCUAGCUAAAAAUACAAUUGCUUAAGUAAAAUCAUCAUUAUUUACA